UUCAGCGGCAGCGGAGCCCUCGGUUUGGCUGUGUGCUGCACAGCUGUAAUUCUCCUUUUGGACGUGACUUUUGGAAAGAAAACCUCCUUCAUUCUUCUGUUUCUGCCAAUCUACUUCUGUGAGGCACUGCCACCCUCCCUUAGAGGAUUAAAGAAGAGAACAGUGUGCACCCUUGGAACAUGAGAUAAACUGGUAAAAGCCACCCGUCCUUGCUGAACAUGCUUGUUCUGCGUCAAAACUGUGGGUGAUUUGACAGAGGGAAAAAAAUGAACGAAUGAUGAAGUUGUGGCAAUUCUGCUGCCAACAUGCUUUUAAAGAUGAACCGCAGAUAAAGUACUGCCCCUCCCAUCACGAUGUCACUUUGGUAGAGAUUACAAGAGCUGUACUCAGUUCACCUUGUUUUGAGCAAAUUUUCAGGGUUAAAAGAAUGCUAUCCAAAAGCAUCCGUGUGAGGACAGAUGCCAGGAUUAAGAGGAAAGGAGGUAAUCUGGAACAAAGUAUGUGGUUACUGCAGGAUGAAGAAAUUCUGCUUGGAAUUGCAGCUCGCAGCGAGUGACUCAUAUUGCACAAACAGCCGAGGUGUGGGUAGCAUUAGCAGACAAUUGCCUGUAAUGACUACCGCGUGCAACGUAAUGAAUGAAGCACCGAAUAGAGAGCUCUCUGCAAGUUGCAGCUAUGUGAAUGGCAAGCCUUUCAUUUUAAGCUAGAGCCCUGUAUCACAAAUAUUAGGUUUGAUAAACACGUUUUCAAGAUGUUUAAGUAUAUCCGUGAAUGGGGUACAGAACUGAGACAGCAGAUAUUGCACCUGAUUUCUAGAAUUUCAGUCUGGCUGUGGCAUUUUGAGACUCAAAAUGUACUUCUAUAAAGGCAAACAAUCAUUUCUGAAAGGUACAUUCCAUUUUGGGUUUGCUGUCAUGCACGGAAAGGAUGUGGCUAUUAUUUUUAUUCUGGUCCAAGCUCAUAUUUUCAGAUAUUCCAUGUAUAUCCUGCUGUUCGUAAAUGUUCUUCCACUAGCCACCUGCAGUAGCACUGCACAGAUUGUGAGCAAGAAGGGCUAUGUUCCUCUGGCACAAGUCAAAUACGCUGUGAUGGGGCACUAAGGACACUUGUGGCUGACAUCAGACGAGCAUCUGCGGUUCUCAAACCGUGUCUGGCCUGUCCACUGUCUGGGGCUGCCUGGCUAGCAGCUAGUGUGCAGUCAGUGGAAAGGAAUAGGUGAGCGCUUCAUUCUCGUGUCAAUAUAGCCCUUAGCAGUCGUGAUGAUGUUUGACAACUGAGCUGACAGUCUGCCAGGUGUUAUUUCAGGUGCAAGGGCCAUGCUUCGCAAAGGCUGGGCUCUGAAAUAGACCAAGGAAUACUGUGAAUUAUUCCUAGUCUCCUGUUUGAAGAAGUAUUUUAAAUACAGUAAUGAUUGUAUCUUAAUAAUCAGAUAUAUUUGUAAAGGCUUAUCAUGGAACCUGCACUUCUAAGGACAAUAACAGGCUAUAUAAUAAAUGAAGCACUGAAUUAGUAGACUUCUCUGCAAGACAUCUUUUAUGUGAAUGGGAAGCCUGUGAUUUGAAACUAAAGCUUUACCUUUGAUCUUGAUCCAAAAGUGUCCUGAGCGCUGUGUUGCAAGAUGUUUCUUGCAGUGCAGCCCAUCCCUUUGUGUCACCACCUUGGCUUAGCAGCUAACACAGGUCAGAUACUGAAACUGCAUUUACCGACAUCAGGGUGAGUCCUAUUAUCAAAGCAGCCCCCUGUGAGGCCAAACCAACAACAAAACCAGAAUUAUUAGCUUACAGGAACAGUGUAUUACCCAGCACCAGUUUUAUUUAGCCGAUUUCAAUCUAUUUUCCAGAUUUUGAAUAUGACCGCCUUUAGUUUCCACACCGAUUUUGAUCAUGCUGAGUUUUAGCCAAAUCUGAGUUGUUGCUCUUCUGCUAUGCCCCGAUCUCAGUGUCUGAUCUCUGUGUCUAUGCUACCUCGUACGUCCUGGGCACAGGUGUCCUGUCCAAACACCAGCUAAUGAACAUAGUCAGUCACCUUCUUCCCACUUACUUCGUUGAGGUACAAAA